CAACAAUUUGCACAUACAAGAGAAAUCCAUCCACUCCAAACAUUAAAUGGAAGAAGAGUCAUCACCCACUAAAAUAAUGACAAGCUUGGUCCAAAACCACCAACUAAUUUCCCUAAUCUAUACAAUUUCUAAGGUGAAGAACCCCACAAUAUCUCAGCACUAACAGUAGCAAACUCUGCAUCUGAUUGUGAAGCCUCUUUCACCAAUCUCAGUAUCUCCAAUUUCACCUCUCUUUUUUCUUCACUACUCAAACCUUCCCCAAUUUCCACUUGUAUUGCAAAUCUCGAAACACAACCAUCAAAAACAGAAUCAUCAAGAUCAUAAUCCACCCCUAACACUUUUUCUUUUUCUCUAAUCUCUUCCACAUCACAUAAAUCCUCUUUUCUUUGCAAAAUCAUCAAUAUUUUAACCAACUCUUGUUGUAACAUAGCUUCAACAACUUCUCUUCUACCAAUAUAACAAAGUUCAAAAACACAAUCCAAAGCCGCAACACGAAGACACCAAUCACUCGAUAACAAAAAACCAAUAAUUUUAGGAAUCAUUCCAUUAGAUAAAAUUUCAUCAACUAAAGGACUACGAAUUAAUCUAACAAGCAAAGAAAUAACCUUUAUUGAACAUUCAGAAGACAUUGCUAUCAAAGCCUUAAUCGUUGGACCCAUCAAAACUAACCCAACAAAAACAUUUUUGUUGAAUUUCACCAAAUCAGCUAUAGCCAUAGCUGAUUCUUCUCGAACCCUUUUCGAACUAAAAGGUUCAAUCAACGUACGUUCCAAAAGGGUAAAGAUUUUUGCUCUCAAAAUUAAAUCUUGAAACUCCAAAUCAAAACCCGACAAUAACCUCUGUUCAAACUCAACAAUAGCCUUAACCUGUUCAUCCUCGUUGUUCUGUUCUUGCAGUGUCUUCACAAGGUUUAUAAUGAUUACACGGUCUAAAUAAGUUUGAAUUUCGGAUUCUAAGGAAGAUGAAGCUUGUGAAAUCUUGUAAGAGAUGAUUUGGCGUUGUAGAAUGGAUUUGAGUCCAUAACCUUUGCAUUUUUCCAAGUUUUCGAUCAAGGUUUUGAGGGUGGUGAGAGAAUGAGAGAGAUUGUAAAGAUUUGGAUUAGUUGAGAAGAUAGUGAUAGCUUUUGAUUCAAGCUCUAAAAGAGCUUCAACGGCGGCUUUAGAGUCGGUUUUGAAGAGAAAAGUGAAAGGGUUGGUUUUGAUUUGAAGAUCUUUGGAAGCUUGUUUGAGGGAGUUGAGAAGAGUUAGAACACGGUGCUUAGAAGGUUGAUCAUGGUCCAUGAUGGAUGUGAGAAAUUCAGUUCAUUUGUUUGUUUUGAAGGAAAGAAGUAGCUAGAAAAAGGGUUGAGAAAAGACAAGAGUGGGAGGGGAGAGAAGAAAGGGAAAACAAACUCAACUAUUAGUCUUGUCAUCGGUCCUUCUCAUCAAUGGAGGGACCAAACCAGUCGGUCCACGUAAAUGGUAUGUUUAUUCAUAGUUAAAUUAGGGGCGGACAAGUCGGUCUAUUAGAUUCGAAAUCGGUUUCAAAAUUUAAAACCGUUUAAACCAACGGUUGCAUAUUUGUAAAUUAUUUAUGACCAACUUAGGCAUUGGUUUAGUCGGUUCGAUGUAAACGGUUAAGCCGGUCAAAUAUGUGGUUUAGUUCGGUUAAUUCGGUUUUAUAUAUAUCAAUUUCUGCUUAAUAUAUUUUAAAAAUUUAACAUAACUAAAUUAUAAGCAGAAAUUUGGGUUUUAAAUAAAACCAAGAUUAAUAAUUUGGCUAUUCACAUUAAUCUUUAUGGUCUAUCAGUUUUCAGUUUAAGUAAAAAUUAAGAGCAAUUUUUAUGCCACAAUAUAUUACAUAGAACUUGUUUGCGCCGACACCAUUUGUAAACUUGUUCCAAAUAUAAAUUAUAUAACUUGUUUGCAUUGACUACAGCAAACAAGCACAAUACAAC
rnacentral:lncRNA from 1 species